AGAGUUUGAUCAUGGCUCAGAUUGAACGCUGGCGGUAUCCUUAACACAUGCAAGUCGAACGGUAACAGUCCCUCACCUAGAAAUUUCUUAAAAAGAGAUUUGUAGGUGAGGGAGCUGACGAGUGGCGGACGGGUGCGUAAUGUAUAGGAAUCUGCCUGGUAGUGGGGGACAACUCGGAGAAAUUCGAGCUAAUACCGCAUAAGCCCUACGGGGGAAAACGGGGGAUCUUCGGACCUCGUGCUAUUAGAUGAGCCUAUAUUAGAUUAGCUUGUUGGUGAGGUAAUGGCUUACCAAGGCGACGAUCUAUAGCUGGUCUGAGAGGAUGAUCAGCCACACUGGGACUGAGACACGGCCCAGACUCCUACGGGAGGCAGCAGUGGGGAAUAUUGGACAAUGGGCGAAAGCCUGAUCCAGCAAUACCGCGUGUGUGAAGAAGGCCUGAGGGUUGUAAAGCACUUUCAAUUGGGAGGAAUACCUAAUAGUUAAUAGCUAUUAGAUUGAC
rnacentral:rRNA from 1 species